UAAUCUGCCUUUUAGAGGGAAAUAACAAGAAGAAAUUCUUGCUAAUGUCCCAUAAGACCACAUUGUCGCAUGACAGAGAGGUCAAAGGAGAAAUCCGCUAGAAGAUGAGUCUAUGGCUGAUUAGUUAGUUGGAGUGGUAAGAGCACACCAAGACGAUGAUCAGUAGCCGAGCUGAGAGGCUGGCCGGCCACAUUGGGACUGAGACACGGCCCAGACUCCUACGGAAGGCAGCAG
rnacentral:rRNA from 1 species